UACGGGGGGAGCAAGCGUUGUUCGGAUUUACUGGGCGUAAAGGGCGCGUAGGCGGCCACCGCAAGUCGACUGUGAAAUCUCCGGGCUUAACCCGGAAAUGGCAUUGGAAACUGCCUGGCUAGAGUGUUGGAGGGGGGACUGGAAUUCUCGGUGUAGCAGUGAAAUGCGUAGAUAUCGAGAGGAACACCGGUGGCGAAGGCGGCAUCCUGGACCAUUACUGACGCUGAGGAGCGAAAGCCAGGGGAGCAAACGGG
rnacentral:rRNA from 1 species